rnacentral:lncRNA from 1 species
CAGAAUGUCAAUAGGGGAAUUCAUGGAAAAUCUAGUAAUUAGGCCCAAUUUUAAAUGACACCACAACCAAAUUUAUCAAUCAUCUUAACUUCAACCCAAAUUAAUAAUAAUAAUAAUGAUAAAAAAUAAAUGAGCUUAUUGGAUUUUUCAAACAUACUAGGCCAGACAUUUUUCCUAUUUUCAAAAAACAAAUGCAGAAGGAAACACAACCUCCAUGAAAAAAAUGCAAAGCUUCUCUUCUCCCUCUUCAACGAUACUCUCUCUAUCAAUGAAAAAAAUGAAAAAUUAACCUUUCUCAUCUCAAAUUAUUCAUACAAAGGAAAUGAAACAAAUAGAGAAAAAAAAAAGUAAAGAGAGAGAAAAUGGGGGACAAAGUGGUCGAUCGAAGGAUAGAUCGCCGAAGUAAGCGCAAUGGUCCGGUUUGUGGUGAAGGCAGUGAUGGGGGCUUGUUUUGAGGCGUGCAAUUUCGAGAUUAAAUGGGGUGGACGUAAUUGCAUGGCGAAGAUGCUGUUGGACGCAUUUUCCCAACAAACGUUGAUUUUGGGGAAUGUCACAGUGGUUGGCGAUGCAAAAAUGGUAACUUGGUUGAUCUGCUUCCUCUUUUUCAUGGUUUGGUUAUGAGAAGUGGAUAAGUAUCUUAAUGAUGUGUUUUUUCAAAGAUGAAUAAAAGCAUGUUGUUCGUGUUGUGAUUGUGAGGGGUGGAACAAGAAGGUUGUUUGAUUAUGAUGAUGAUGACUAUGAUGUUUUUUCAUGUGAGAAAUCACAAUGGAAAGAGAGGAAGUUCAAUAUAAAAAGGUGAUGAUUGUUGAAAGUGGUUGUUAUCAUAGAUGAGUAUGAAGUUCAGACUCAAACACGGACAUGAGACACAACACAGAUAUGGACACGAUGAUCCCGCUAAUGUAAA